GACGAACGCUGGCGGCGUGCUUAACACAUGCAAGUCGAACGAUGAAGCUAGAGCUUGCUCUGGUGAAUUAGUGGCGAACGGGUGAGUAACACGUGAGUAACCUGACCCGAACUCUGGGAUAACUGCUGGAAACGGUAGCUAAUACUGGAUACGACCUACGAAGGCAUCUUCUGUAGGUGGAAAGAAUUUCGGUUCGGGAUGGACUCGCGGCCUAUCAGCUUGUUGGUGAGGUAAUGGCUCACCAAGGCGACGACGGGUAGCCGGCCUGAGAGGGUGACCGGCCACACUGGGACUGAGACACGGCCCAGACUCCUACGGGAGGCAGCAGUGGGGAAUAUUGCACAAUGGGCGCAAGCCUGAUGCAGCAACGCCGCGUGAGGGAUGACGGCCUUCGGGUUGUAAACCUCUUUUAGCAGGGAAGAAGCGAAAGUGACGGUACCUGCAGAAAAAGCACCGGCUAACUACGUGCCAGCAGCCGCCGUAA
rnacentral:rRNA from 1 species